GUGUGCCUAGCAGGCCUUUCCAGGAGCAAGUCUUUUCAACAUAUACUUACCCCACGGAAAGAGAUGGUUCUUGAUGUUUAAGUUACAACUUGUUAGGAUCAAGGGACCUUAGGCAACACUUCCUAGGUGCUCAUGAAAAGUCCAGUUAGCCAAACAGCAUCUACAGUGGCCAGAUGCGUUCAUAUCUUGGCCUCAGAAGAAGCUGGGAAGUCCCAGUGCAACUGUCUUGAAGUCUGUUUCCCAUAUCCAGAGAGAGGAGUAUCAGGAGCCUUAAGGCGUGUGCACAAAGGUUGCCAGAGCCGUAAUUUCAGACUGCAUCAUUUAAUAAAAUACAAUAAGAGGAAUUAAGAAGAAAGGCUGCAGUGAACAUCCUGCUUAUUAUCUCUGUAAUGAGAGGACUAUUUUUUCUCCCAUCAGUUGCCAAUGAUGGGGUUUUUUAUUUCCUUUCAUCUGAGCACAAUUGUGAUAUUCAAUGAGAGGGGUUGUGAAGUGCCACUUGAAAGCCAAACAUUCAAUUCCUCCUAAUUCACAAGGGAGAGAAGGAUCAAGUUGUGCAGCUGGGAGGUGAUGUUUCUUCCUAGCAGCUGUCACUGGAGAGACAUGUGCAAACCAUAGAAGUCAUUUGUCACAAGAGCCCCAUCCCGAAUGUGCUAUGUGCCUCUCCCUUGCUAACGUGACAUGAAAUAGUGAGGCUUUCAAACUCAAGUUCAGAGACUUCGCUGUGUUGACGUGGGCAAAAUGGAAUGAAGAACCGAGGCAAUUAUGUGGAUAAAUCAGGCCCAAAAUAUCCUACCACUGAGAGAAAAAAAUGUCUGUGGCUCAAAUUAUUCAAAGUGACUGUCCAUGCUCAUCAAUUUAUCAGGAUAAUGAAUUUUAUCCUACACUUUGUCACUAGAGAUAUAUCUCCAGUCUAUGAAUUUGAAUGACUUUGUGAUAUUUUAUUUCACUGGAAAUUGCAAUAGGAGUUGAAUGAGCAAGCACUGUAUUAAAAGAUUGCUACUGAAGCUGUGAUAACAGUUCAAGAGAAUUUAAGCUUCAUUACUCCCUAGCUAGCUGGUAAGACUGUUGCAGUGGGGGUCCAGAGGGAUUAUGUGAAAACUGUUGAGAAUUGGAUGCUUGUAACUAAUCUCAGUCUCUCCCAUUUAGUAACCCAUUACCCCCCAAAAUAUCUUGGUCCGUUGCUCUUAACUAGUUUUCUGGUCAUUUGACAACCAAUGAAAUCAUUGUGAAAAUUUCAUUAAAAUUUAUAGAAAGCUGAUGUAUUAGGAUUAUAUGUGUAUAUAUAAAUGUUACCUUCAUGUAUGUUAAUAUUUAUUAAUACCUCUUAUAUUUCAUUAAAGAGAUAAAAGUUUCAAAUACAUAACGCAAGGUCAGUACAUAAAGCAAUGCCUGUGCAUACAUCGGCAUUGGCUUCUGCUUUGUACCCUUUGCAUACUCCAGGCCUUGUUGCUUCUGGAGACAUCUGAAUCAAGGUCAGGAGUCCAGGGCUCUCCCGAAGGGCAAAGGGAGAACUUCUGAACAGUUAGCUCUACUACCUCUGAUGAAGUAGUAGUAGAGUUACUACUGCCUCUACUACCUCCUCGGUCCUGCUGCAGCUUCUUAAACAUUAGGGACCGCCUGCCACUCAGAAGUUAUAAAUCAAGAACAUGCUCACUGAAGCAAUAGGAUACUACACAAGAAGCAACAGCCAAGAUCAAUACCAUUUUUAUCUUUAUCCAUAAAAUUAUAACAUAAGAAGUACCUUGAAGAAUGACCUAUGACAAUACUAUUAUGAUAUUUUGUUAGUUUUUUUUAUUUUUAAAAUAAACAAUGGAAAUAUAAGUGUUUCCUGAUCAAAACAGAAAUAUUUUAUGUAAUAUUCUGGAAAAAUAUCAAGAAAAAAGUAAAAAUGGCCACUGGCAAUAUAACCAUUUAAACCCUGGAUUUUUUGGGUCUAAUAUGGAUGAAAUAGAAAUGCAUACACAUGUAUAAUUUAGAGCUCAAUAAGUGUUGGCUAGAACUGGUUUUAGGGUCGUAAACAUGAGUCCCUCUUUCACAAUAACUGCUGACGUACAUAUUUGAAGCUACUUUAUACACGAUGACAUUUUCCCAUAAAGGCUAAAUUUAUAUACAUGCACCAGAGAGUGAUCUGUUACCAUCUGUGCUGUUAUUUUAUUGCAAAGCAGUGUGUGUGUGUGUGUGCAUACGUGUGUGUAUGUUUACAUAUGCGUUUUUGUCUACACAAUGGUAGAAGUACAGGUAAGAACAUGUAAUUACAAAAACCUUUCAGGCCUGACACACACCUUCGUUAAACUGAGUUCUAGGCUAUAACAGGCGGUGUUGAGAGCUCAGGAAGGUAUUGGUCACAGCAGUGAACAGUGUAGCAUUUUCUAAUUUCUUAGCUGAUGUGCAGCAUACAAUUUCCAUCAUUGUGGAACUUAAUAGCCAGCUCAUUUAUUGACAAUCUCAGCAAAAAGGGUAGGAAAAUCAAUUCUGAACAUGAAUUAUGGCAUUUCUUUGAAUAUCAGCCAUUUCUGGUCUAAAAUCUGUACCACGGUGUCCUGUUUCUGAGUGGUAGGUUAUUAAUGAAUUCCAGUUAUACUUGUUUUCUGGCUUGUUAUAAUUUUUUCAGGAAGAUGAUAGCAGUUCCUGGCACAGUAACCUUUCCAAUGUUCUGUUCCUUGAUUUGCUGAUAAUGCCUGUCCUUGGUGCUAGUAGAUGAGGGAAAGGUAUAUAGAAGGGUUGAUCAAAGGACAGUGAUUAUUAAAAAAAUCAAUUAGCUGAAUAAUUAAAGAGUCGAUACUGUCUCAUGCGGUGAAGAUAGUAACACAAAGAAGAAACUAUAAUGUCAAAGCAUUUUUUGGAAAUGAGUGUUGGAGAAAAGGAAAUUAUAUCAGCCUACUUGCUUUCAUUAUAGUCUGAAAAUGGCCUUUGGCACUUGUACUUAGCUGUCCUAUUCCUGCUGUAAUCUCUGUUAAGAAUAGCAAAUCAAUAUGGAAUUUUUUGAGGAGCUAAGCUAAUCUGUUUUUAUUUAUUUAUUUUUUUUCCGAUACCAGGAAUCGAACUCACAACCUUGCGCUUGCCAGGCAGGCGCUGUGCUGCUGAGCUAAAUCCCCAGCCCCCACGAGCUAAGCUAAUCUGGCAAGCAUGUUCCUUUUAAAAUAAAACUGCUACAUUAGUCAUAUUUAAUUGUACCCAGCAGAAUCCAAUAUCAUAGUGAUUUGAUAACCAGCAUCAUCCAGUUAAAAUUACAAUAACGAAUCUGUGAGUCUGACAUUUUACCUUCCUUUUUUUCUCAUUUCUCCCAUAAAAUUUUUAUCCUAAUGAAGCGCAUAUUUUUCUUGUUUGUCUUUUAUUGAUCAUCCUACCCACUUCUCUGCUCUAAAAGUAUAUUUCUAAAUUAUAAGGGUUGUUUGGUAAUGUUCAAAUCUCUAAACACUAACAUGUUUUUUCUAUUAGUUUCAUUUCUGUCAACUGGUAAUUUACAAAAUCAAGGCAAAUAUAUUCCAUUUUUGAACAUUAGUAUUGUAAUGUAUUAAAAUUCAUUGCAAAAUAAUUUCUUCAUGAGAAGAAUCAUGACUCUGUGUGCAGCUCUUGGGAAGUUGAAUCUGCAGUGUCUUGAAAGCAGUCAAGAUGGUUGAUAAGAUGCAGUUCCUCCAUCAACAAGGUCAUUGAACAGAGACAUCCAGUGUUUCUUUUCCCCUCACUAAAAAGAACCAAAGCAAGAGGUGUACCACUGAAUAUCAACAUGAGUUACCCUGGGAAAAUACUGGUACUCAGCAGUGGAUAAACAGAAGUGUUGUAAAAUCCAAACACCAGAGACACAGCAAAAGAAAAAAAAUAUCCCAACACUUGUCACUUGGCUGCACAGGUGGGAGAGAGUCUCUCAUCUGCAGGGGUAAAGAUGAAGAAGAGAGUCACAAAAAACUUUAUCAGUGAAGAUACCGGCAAUUCCAGCUCUUGGUAAGUUUUGCUCCCUUGCAUGCUGAGAGCCUAAAAAGAUAAGACACCUGAAAUCUGCACUGUAGUCUGGUUUGGGAUAAGAAAUUACCUUCAUCCCACAAGCCAAUUUUUCCAGCACCAUUUAUUAAAGAGGCUAUCUUUCUUCCACUGAGCUUGUUUGGCCCCUUUAUUGAAGACUAGGUGGUUGAGUGUGUUUUUGGUUGUGUCUGUUUCUUCCAGUCUGUUCCAUUGAUCCUCAGGCCUGUUUUUUAGCUGGUACCAUGCUGAUUUUAUUACAGUAGCUUUGUAGUAUAAUUUCAGGUCAGGGAUUUUAAUUCCAUCUGACUUGUCUUUGUUGCCCAGGACUGCUUUUGCUAUUCUGGGUCUCUUCUGGUUCCAGAUGAAUUUUAGGAAUAUUUUCUCUAGAUCUGUGAGGUAUGCUAGCGGUAGUUUAAUGAGAACUGCAUUGAAUCUGUACAACAAUUUCGGUCGUAUGGCCAUUUUCACAAUGUUGGUUCUUCCUGUCCAUGAACAAGGAAUGUUUCUGCAUUUAC
rnacentral:lncRNA from 1 species